CCUAGUGAUAACACAAGCCAAGAAAAUACAUUUCGACAUUCAAGAAGCGCCACUGUGUCUACCUGAUAUAUCUUCACUUCGCUUGCUUUUUACAUUUUAUAUAAAGUGGUUUAAAGGUUGGAUAUAUAUACUUGCAAAUAACAUGGAUAUUUCUAUGGCAGAACGCACACAAACGCACAGACAUGAGAGUUAUAAAUGGAUUCCUACUUUUGACUGCUACAGCAGUGACGAUGAUUGAUUUUGGUCUGGUGUUUUCUUUCGGUACCAUGUUUGUUACAAUGAUGGAGACCUUUCAAACAGGUCGUGCUGCAACAGCAACCGUACAGUCCAUUCUUAUUGGAGUCACACUAGGCUUUGGUGCCGUCAGUGGAGUCAUCGUAUCUAAGGUAGGACUACCAGUAGCAACGUUUGUAGCGAGCUUGAUGGUUCCAUUGGGGUUCUGCUUAUCAUUCUUUGCUAACGAGGUUGUUAUUAUCUAUUUCACUAUCGGACUUGUCUCGGUGAAAAAAGAAAUGUGUUGUUGUUUUCCGCUCUCCACAAGUGCACAGAGGCGAUGGAAUCAUAUUUUUGACAAGAUGUCAUCAGCAAGUGAGCUAUACUUUGUACGGAGACGGGCGUGGAGAAUCUGCAUUCUCCCCUUACCUGAAAAGAAAUAUGGUGGCACAUUGUUGACUGGCAUAAAGAGUUGUCUUUUAAAUGAGGAAAGAGUUGGCGCGUCACAAAGUGAUAUUGAAAGAUUAUUAAAGGCUCUAGUAGUUGAAGGAAGAAAAGCGUCAUAGUAGUGUGAUGUUCGUGCUCUUGGUACUCUAAAAUCCUUAUUGUUGCGCAGACGGUAUGUUUCGUUGUGAACAGAGGGCGGACAAAGCUCAGAAAGAUAUGAUGGAGUUAGAUUUGACUUCAUCUUGUAGAAGAGUAUGAGUUUAUGUUUUUGACGCCAGGACUCAAGAGUGUCCCAUCCAAUCUCGUUUAAAAGUUUUUGUAUAGAGGCUAGUUUUGUAGCGCCAGUGACAAUCCGAGCGGCCUCAUUUUGGAAUUUUUCAAGAGUUGCGUUUUGCUCACGUGUGCAACUGGCAAAUACAACAUCACCAUACUCUAAGAUGGGGCGUAUAAAGGGCACAUAUAUGGUUUCCAGGGAACGCUGAUCAAGACAAAAUUUGAGCUUUCGCAUGAUGUUAAUACGUUGAUAGGCCUUCUUCACUAGAUAUUCAAUAUGCGUAUCCCAUUUCAAGUUGUUCGAGAAGAAGAGACCCAAAUGUUUGUGAUUGGACACUUCUUGGAUUUCUACAUUGUUCAUAUAAAUAGUAGGGUGUGGUCUGACAUUUGGUCUACGAAAAAGAAUAAGAGAUUCAGUUUUGCGAGGGUUAAAUUUAACCAGCCAUUGGGACGCCCAAAUUGAGAUCUUCCGUAGGUCGGAGUUCAGAAUUUCUGCAGCAGAUGCUGAAUCUUCCACUGUGAUGUAGAGACUAGUAUCGUCAGCAAAUAGACAUAUGUUGGCUUUAAUAUCAACGACAAUGUCAUUUAUAAAGAUGAGAAAGAGAAUGGGUCCUAAGAUUGACCCUUGGGGUACACCUGCUGAUAAACCGGUUUAAGCUCCCCAGUGGUGGUUUUGCCACUGACAGUUCCAAGGUAUAGGUAUAUCUUUGGCAUACAUCAGUUGUGUCGUGGCUAUUGACUGUGAGUUUUCUGAAUCCCAAAGGACUUUAUGCUUAUCUAUAUUGAACACUUCGUAUGUUGUUGCUUCAAUUGCCUAUCCAUAUUGUUUAGAAUGGUUAACAGAACAAUAUGGUCUAAAAGGGACCUUUCUAAUUCUUGGUGGAUUCACUCUAAACACAUUAGUUUUAUUUGUAAUGUGUUUUAUAAAUCGAGAAAAAUCCAAAAAUAACAAAACAUUUGCUCGUCAAGACGCUGAAAAUGAUUACAAUGUUCCAUUAAAGGAAAGAGAGCCCUUCAAAUUCCUACGAUACAGGAUAUCGAAUGCAUUUCUUGAUUUUAAGAAAUAUUUGUCAACGCCUUAUCUAUUCAUACUUGUUGCAACUGGAAUUUUACUCAGUUCUUUAGAUGGAUAUUUAGCCCUGAUGCUUGACAUUGCUUUAUGGAAACAGAUUGAUUCUUCACGUGCACUGAUCUCCUUUGUGAUAUAUUCAAGUUUUACUGCCGGUUCGUGUCUUGUUCCAGGUCUAUUAAAACAAAAGAAAGGAAUAAACUCUUGUGCAUAUCCUAUAUUUUCAUCCCUGACCGGAGCUAUAGGUAUGAUGAUUAUAUAUUUUGCAAAUGAUCAUAUUACUUUCAUGACUGGAACUUCUCUGGUUGGCGUUGGAUGUGGUGGAAUAUUGUCGUCUUCAAUGAAUGCAGCUGUGAAAAUUGUAGAGAUAGAAUUUGUGCCUGUCGCAACCGGAUUACUUCUUACUGUCAAUGGAUUGCUUUCAGUAGGUACCGGACCUUUGUUCGGUUGGCUAAGGGACACAACUAGUUCCUAUAGAAGUGUUCUUAUAAUAAUCAUGACUUUACAUGGAGUUUCUGCCGUCCUGUACAUGUUAGCUUUGAUAUUCCGAAGACUUGACAAAACUAAAGCUAAACAAAAUAACAUUCAACAUACAGAAAGUCAAGAAAGAAAUAUGAACGACGCGCUGUUGUUUUGAGU
rnacentral:misc_RNA from 1 species